GUUAGAUAGAAAAUGGAACCUCGGCACUCCGGUGAUCACCUGAGACAAGGUCCGACGAGAGGAGGAGGCACACACAGGUUUUCCCGACGCUCGAACACCUGUGCCGCCAGAACGGCGCGCUCUCUGUAUUACUGGCAAGCUCGAACUCGCCCUGCCUCUCCCAGCCUUACAACGACACCCACACGGGUUCUUAUACCCAGGCCCAGCGCCGGCAACAACCUUGCGCUCCCGCCUCCCCACGCGGACGAACUGCUCCCGCUCUAACCGCGGCCACCUCGCGCACGCCU
rnacentral:lncRNA from 1 species